rnacentral:rRNA from 1 species
UACGUAGGGGGCAAGCGUUGUCCGGAUUUAUUGGGCGUAAAGAGCGUGUAGGCGGCUUUACAGGUCCGUUGUGAAAACUCGAGGCUCAACCUCGAGACGCCGGUGGAAACCGUAAGGCUAGAGUCCGGAAGAGGAGAGUGGAAUUCCUGGUGUAGCGGUGAAAUGCGCAGAUAUCAGGAGGAACACCCGUGGCGAAAGCGGCUCUCUGGGACGGUACUGACGCUGAGACGCGAAAGCGUGGGGAGCGAACAGA